rnacentral:rRNA from 1 species
UGAGCAACCUGCCCUUGACACUGGAAUAACAGUUGGAAACAGCUGCUAAUACCGGGUACGACCUCACACGGCAUCGUGAGAGGUGGAAAGCCCUGGCGGUCAAGGAUGGGCUCGCGGCCUAUCAGCUAGUUGGUGAGGUAACGGCUCACCAAGGCUUCGACGGGUAGCCGGCCUGAGAGGGCGACCGGCCACACUGGGACUGAGAUACCGGCCCAGACCUCCGUACGGGACGGNAGACGG